rnacentral:tRNA from 2 species
AUCAAAGAAGGACUACCCAUCUCUAGCCCCCAAAGCCAGUAUUUUACUUAAACUACUCUUUGA